AGUUUUGAGGUGGUGUAUUAUGCAGCAGUAGUUAACGGAAACAUCUUCCCAGCAAUCUCCUUGCUAAGCAAAAGUUUUUGGCAAAUUGCCGCUGCAGCUACUUCCUCUGUUUACUGUUAACUGGCAACAGUGAGAGCUCAGAAAUUCCCAGACUGUUUUGAUGAUAAGGUCCAAGAACUUGCCAUGUGAUCCAUCACUACUAGACUCCCACAACUGCAUUAGAUUUGUUCAGGAUUUUCAUAUAAUUUUCAUAACUGGCUAAGGCGAAAGGCCAGUAGGAAAACCAAGACUCUCUGGAGAAGUCAACAGGUUCUGAAAUAACCCAUCUUGAAGACAUAAACAAUGUGCAUUGAUGGCUAGCCAGACUCUGUCCUGCCACAGUUCUCCUCCUACUCUUCAUUUCUUACCCCAAGGAGUAGUAAACAUGAAUCCUGACCCACCAAUGCAGUCCCAGAACUGAGAAAAGAUUCACUGCAGCUAAACAGUAGGUAGAAAUAAAAACAAUGACUCAAUUCAAUAAUAUUAAGUGUGUUGGGAAGACAGUCUCCAAGAGAAACGAUAAAUAACCUACAUAAUGAAGAAUUAGUUAGCAGUGUUAUGUAAAUAUUGUAGCAGCAUCAAUGAGGAGGGAUUAUUUUUGCACCUUUGGAAAGCAACUGAAAAAGGAAGCCUGGAAAAAAUCCUGCCUAACAAAGCAGCAGUACUCAAAUAGCUUUAACUAUAAGAAAGAACUGAUUCAAGAUAUGAGAAG
rnacentral:lncRNA from 10 species